CCGUAGCCCAAGAGAUCGGGAUAACACCUGGAAACAGAUGCUAAUACCGGAUAACAAUAGAUGAUGCCUAUCAACUGUUUAAAAGAUGGUUCUGCUAUCACUCUUGGAUGGACCUGCGGUGCAUUAGCUAGUUGGUAGGGUAACGGCCUACCAAGGCGAUGAUGCAUAGCCGAGUUGAGAGACUGAUCGGCCACAUUGGGACUGAGACACGGCCCAAACUCCUACGGGAGGCAGCAGGA
rnacentral:rRNA from 1 species